AGAGAGAGACAUGCGCGCAUAUCAAUAAGCGGAGGAAAAGAAACUAACAAGGAUUCCCUAGUAACGGCGAGUGAAGCGGGAAGAGCUCAAAUUUGAAAUCUUAAAGGUUUCUACCUUGACGAAUUGUAGUUUAUAGAAGUGUUUUCUGUUAGGGAGUUCGGUAAAAGUUCUUUGGAAUAGGACAUCAUAGAGGGUGAGAAUCCCGUAUUUGGUCAUUCCUCCUAGCGUUGUGAUACACUUUCAACGAGUCGGAUUGUUUGGGAAUGCAGUCCAAAAUGGGUGGUAAAUUUCAUCUAAAGCUAAAUAUUGGCGAGAGACCGAUAGCGAACAAGUACCGUGAGGGAAAGAUGAAAAGAACUUUGAAAAGAGAGUUAAACAGUACGUGAAAUUGUCAAAAGGGAAGCGUUUGACACCAGUGUUGUUUUUCCGAAAAUCAAUUACGAAUGUUUUAUUUUUGAGAGAGUUAUGACUUCAUCGGCUUGCUUCCUUUCUUUAUCGAAACUUUCUUAAUGCACUUUUCGGUUAACAAGUCAACAUCAAUUUCUUUUGUUGUAAAAGGGUAUGAGGAAGGUGGCUUUCUUUUCGGAGAAAGUGUUUAUAGCCUUGUGCCUCUGCAAUCGGAGAGAUUGAGGUCUGCAGCGUAGAUCCUUCGGGGUUAGAUACGUUUGUGCUAAGUUAUAGCUUUUCAUAGACAACUUGUUGACUAUGUUUAGUCUUGUAGCUUACUCGCUGAUGCUAUUUUACCUACGCUUAGGAUGUUGAUAGUCACAGCGUGUAC
rnacentral:rRNA from 1 species